rnacentral:rRNA from 1 species
CAGCCGCCGCGGUAAUACGAAGGGGGCUAGCGUUGCUCGGAAUGACUGGGCGUAAAGGGCGCGUAGGCGGAUGGCACAGUCAGAUGUGAAAUUCCCGGGCUUAACCUGGGGGCUGCAUUUGAUACGUGUUGUCUAGAGUGAGGAAGAGGGUUGUGGAAUUCCCAGUGUAGAGGUGAAAUUCGUAGAUAUUGGGAAGAACACCGGUGGCGAAGGCGGCAACCUGGUCCUUGACUGACGCUGAGGCGCGAAAGCGUGGGGAGCAAACAGGAUUAGAUACCCCGGUAGUCCCUGUCUCUUAUAA